rnacentral:lncRNA from 1 species
GCUCUAGGCAUCAUCAGUGAUUUAAGUUUAGAGAAAUAAUUUUUCUUAAGUGAAAGCAACUAAAACUUCUCUUAACAUAAACAAGAGCUGUCAGAGUCUCUCUUUUUCCCCAUCACCUCAUUAUUAAUUCAUCUGGCUUCAGAAUCUUGGUUCUAAUCAGGGAGUUGGCUCCUGCGGCUGCACUUACAAUCAGCUUGAUGCCAAAACAGCCUCAUGCAAUCACCCUCCUCAAACCUACAGAUGACUCCUAGUGAAGAAAAUAAUUCAAAAGGCAAUGGGUAUUUAAGACGCAGUGUGCAAUGUCUAGUGGCUGGAGUUUGGGAGUUCACACCAGCUUUCCUCUUCUCAGAUGCCCAGCCUUGAUCUACAGGAAGGUCAAGGGGUAAGCAGAAAGAAGGGAGACUCAGAGAGAUUUUCAGAGAGGAUCUGAGGAGACAGCCUAGACCAAAGGCCAAGAGUGGCCACCCAAGGACCGAAUGGGUCGUCCACAGACACAUUACCUUCCCUCUCCUUUCCUCCUACCAGUACAUAGCACAGUUUUACGAAUGGCUAACAUUUAAAUAUUAGAAGCAUUUACAUAAAACUCCAGGGUGCCAGCUUCUUCUGAAAGUUAAGUAAAGGAGGCCUGCAUUCUGGCAUGUUACAAAUUGGUCAAUUCUGAGUGGAGGUGACAGUAAUCAACAAAUCAAAGAAUCUUCAUCCCUAUCAUCCCACCCACCAGACUGGCUCAUUCUUUUACCUGCCUACCUCCUGUGGACAUUUGCAUCUUUCCUCUGAAUCGUAUACACAGUAUUCUCUAAGUAAGCCCUUUCUCCAAGUCUCUUCAGGUGGUAGUUAGGUUAGUGCAAAAUACCAGAGGGGUAAGUAGUACAAAAGGAGAAAAAGGAGUAAAGCAGAAGAUUUUCUGAAAACUAUUUACACUUAGAAACCUAACUAAAGGAUGAGACAUCAUCAUCUCCCCAUGCAACCAGCAUUUCCUGGGCAGCCACCAUGUACCUGGCAUGAUUUGUGGAGCAGGAGAGACAGCAGUGACAAGACCAGACCCCCUCUCCUCACCAAAUUUUGUUUCUCUGUGACACAGGCAGAGGUUGGAAGAAUUUAGGGCUCAGAAGAAGACAGAAAGGCCCAGGCAUGGUGGCUCAUGCCUGUAAUCCCAGCACUUUGGAAGGCCAAGGUGGGUGGAUCACCUGAGGUCAGGAGUUCAAGACUAGCCUGGCCAACCCCACCUCUACUAAAAAUACAAAAAUUAGCUAGGCAUAGUGGCAGGCAUUUGUAAUCCCAGCUACUCAGGAGGCUGAGACACAAGAAUCACUUGAAUCUGGGAUGCAGAGGUGGCAGUGAGCUGAGAUCGUGCCACUGCACUCCAGGCUGGGCAGUCUCAAACUUCUUAUAGAUUGGUCAUAUUGUUGUGGCCAAAAUGCUGAUAGAGAUACGGACAGUGAAAGUCAAGCUGAUAAGGUCUCAGGUGGAAAUGAAAAACUUAUUGGAAACUGGAGCAAAGGUCAUCCAUGUAUGCCCUAGCAAAGAGUUUGGCUGCUUUAUGUCCAUGUCCUAGGGCUCUGUGGAAAUUUGAAUUUAAGAAUAAUGGCCUAGGGUAUCUGGUGGAAGAAAUUUAUAAGCAGCAAAGAAUUCAAG